GUGAGUCAUCGAAUCUUUGAACGCAUAUUGCGCUCGAGGCUUCGGCCAAGAGCAUGUCUGCCUCAGCGUCGGGUUCCCCCUCUCAUCCCCUCUCACCUGCUCAUUCACUUGAGUAAGAGUAUAAUAGAGGGCGGUGGAUUUUGACAGUCUCUGAGACCUUGACUGGUCUCGGUGUCUGACUAAGCGCUCGCUUCGCCUUGAGCCGCCGCACCUUGUCAAUCAUUGACGGCCGCAGCUGGGUAUGCAGCUUUACUGUUGCUACUCGUGAGUCUGCCGGUCAUUCAAGACACGUGUGCCUCG
rnacentral:misc_RNA from 1 species